CGGCCACCAGGCUGGCCACGGUCUCGUCCUCGGCCGCCACCCGGGGGCGGAUCCGGGUGUCCAGGGACGCGGGCCCGAUCGCCGCGGCCGUGGCCGCC
rnacentral:tRNA from 1 species